rnacentral:rRNA from 1 species
CCUACGGGAGGCUGCAGUGAGGAAUAUUGGUCAAUGGGCUUACGCCUGAACCAGCCAAGCCGCGUGAGUGAAGAAGGUUUUCGGAUUGUAAAGCUCUGUUAGCAGGGAAGAGGAAGGACGGUACCUGCAGAGGAAGCCACGGCUAACUACGUGCCAGCAGCCGCGGUAAUACGUAGGUGGCAAGCGUUGUUCGGAAUAACUGGGCGUAAAGGAUGCGUAGGCGGUUAAACAAGUUAUAUGUUAAAUAUAUAGGCUUAACCUGUAGAAAGCAUAUAAAACUGUUUAACUAGAGUGCAGGAGAGGUAAGUGGAAUUCCUAGUGUAGCGGUGAAAUGCGUAGAGAUUAGGAAGAACACCAGUGGCGAAGGCGGCUUACUGGACUGUAACUGACGCUGAGGCAUGAGAGCAUGGGGAGCAAACAGGAUUAGAUACCCGAGUAGUC